CCGGGAGAGAGGGAAGGACAGAGCUGAGCAGAGAGACUAAACAUUUCCUCUAAAGGGAAAGCCGGGAAUCACCCCCAAACCAUGGAAUCACCGUGGCUGGUUAUUGAACCCAGGUCUGAUCUGCUCGCUGCACGAGAGAGACAAGAGUGUUGGGACAAGGAAAGUGAUUUUAUUCGAGAGAGUCACCUAACCCAGAACAUGGCCUUCUGACGUCCCAAUAAACCACCCUCCUGUGUCGGUGCAGGCAGGGGUUUUACAGGAGAGACGUGAAGAGAGAAACCAGCUCAUACAAGCACUUGAGCAGUCCAGCUCAAAGGAUCUUGAAAGGGCAGGGGAAAGCCUUCCCCCCUGAUAAGUCAUGACCAUUCACGUCCCUGCACUGAGGUCACGUUCAAACUGAAAAAAGAAGAAGGAAAAAAACCCCCACAAAAACCAAAGUGAGUCGCAAGCAAGGUCUUGUCUCUUCCAAGCGGUGUCACUUUGGGCAGUCGCCUGUCUCUCCCGGUCUCAGUUACCUCCUCUUUAAGACGGAGGGCUUCGUCUUGGUCACGCUAGAGGCUGUGAGUCUGCGGAUCUGGAGCCUCUGGAGGGAUGGUGACUCUGGUCAUUGCUGACCCAGCUGGAGCCACCUCUGUCCCUGGACUUCAGUUGCUGAGGCCUGUCUCCAGGUUCAAAGUUGGUGGGUGGUUUCGGCAGGUGGUCUGUUAGGUGGUCUGUGCCUCUGCCCCCAGCGGCUCUUCCCAUGCUUACCCAUCAGGGGGACUUGCCGCCGGCCACAUCCCUCCUGCCUUUCUUCCUCAAGGGCUCUGCCAUCAGGUCUGAUCAGGACCCGAGCAAUUCUUGGCACUGACGUGGCCUGACAAAUGUUCAGCGAGGCCUGGGAGGUAUUCCGCGUGUUUGCUGCCCAGCCCGGAUAUUUCUAGGGUCUUUCCUCGUUCUAGCCAGUAAGAGAUCAGAGCAUGAACCUCCCACGAGAACCCGCGGAGCAGGGAGGGCAAGGCAGCGGGGGCAAGAGGGAGGCCGUGCUGGCUGUCCAGGUUGGGGAGCAAAGGCCAAGGAUUAUCUCAGCGUCGAACUCGGAGAUGACUAAAGUGCGCGGUGCCCGGCACACGGUGUAACCUCGCCUUGCACCUUUAUUCAGCAGGGACCCACUGAGCUCCUCCUGUGUGCCAAGCACCGCUGUAGGCACGCGCCGGUGAUCAAAAUCAGGCGAUAACGAAUCUGUGCCACCGUGGCUCUGACUUUCUCAUUGGAGAGACUGGACGAAAGUGUAGUAAGGGAGGUAUUAUGUUAGAUGGCCACACGCUGAGCAAAAUGAA